CCAGUUUGAUCCUGGCUCAGGACGAACGCUGGCGGCGUGCUUAACACAUGCAAGUCAAGGAGAAAGUCUCGACUUGUCGAGAUUAGUAAACUGGCGAACGGGUGAGUAACACGUAGGUAACCUGCCCUUAAGAUAAGGAUAACUUUGCUAACGCAAAGCUAAUACUUUAUAAUACUUUUUUAUUACAUGAUAAAAAAGUCAAAGUUGCCUUUUGGUAACGCUUAAGGAUGGACCUGCGCCCCAUUAGCUAGUUGGUAGGGUAAAGGCCUACCAAGGCGACGAUGGGUAUCCGGCCUGAGAGGGUGAUCGGCCACACUGGGACUGAGAUACGGCCCAGACUCCUACGUGAGGCAGCAGUGAGGAAUAUUGCGCAAUGGGUGAAAACCUGACGCAGCAACGCCGCGUGGAUGAUGAAGCUCUAAGGAGUGUAAAGUCCUGUUAGGAGGGAAGAACGGCUAUAACUAUAAUAUGGUUGUAGUAUGACGGUACCUCCAAAGAAAGCCCCGGCUAACUCCGUGCCAGCAGCCGCGGUAAUACGGGGGGGGCAAGCGUUGUCCGGAAUUAUUGGGCGUAAAGAGCGCGUAGGCGGAAUAAUAAGUCAGAAGUGAAAACCAUGAGCUUAACUUGUGGCCUGCUUUUGAAACUGUUAUUCUUGAGUACGGUAGAGGGAAGUGGAAUUCCUGGUGUAGCGGUGAAAUGCGUAGAUAUCAGGAAGAACACCGGUAGCGAAGGCGGCUUCCUGGCCCGUGACUGACGCUGAGGCGCGAAAGCGUGGGGAGCAAACAGGAUUAGAUACCCUGGUAGUCCACGCUGUAAACGAUGGGCACUAGGUGUUGGUCUGCCAAAGGUGGAUCAGUGCCGCAGCUAACGCAUUAAGUGCCCCGCCUGGGGAGUACGAUCGCAAGGUUGAAACUCAAAGGAAUUGACGGGGGCCCGCACAAGCGGUGGAGCAUGUGGUUUAAUUCGAUGCAACGCGAAGAACCUUACCUGGGCUUGAAGUGCAGCCGACAUCCGUCGAAAGGCGGCUUUCCUUCGGGACGGCUGUAGAGGUGCUGCAUGGCUGUCGUCAGCUCGUGCCGUGAGGUGUUGGGUUAAGUCCCGCAACGAGCGCAACCCUUGUCCUUAGUUGCCAUCAGUUAGGCUGGCUACUCUAAGGAGACUGCCCCGAAUAACGGGGAGGAAGGUGGGGAUGACGUCAAGUCCUCAUGGCCCUUACGUCCAGGGCUACACACGUGCUACAAUGGCCGGUACAGUGGGAAGCAAUAUCGCAAGGUGGAGCAAAUCCCUUAAAACCGGUCUCAGUUCGGAUUGCAGUCUGUAACUCGACUGCAUGAAGUCGGAAUCGCUAGUAAUCGUGGAUCAGCAUGCCACGGUGAAUACGUUCCCGGGCCUUGUACACACCGCCCGUCACGCCAUGGAAGUCGGUAGCACCCGUAGCCUGGCCUAACCUUUCG
rnacentral:rRNA from 1 species